GACGAACGCUGGCGGCGUGCUUAACACAUGCAAGUCGAACGGGUUCGGAGGUUAGAAGACAGAGGUCAGAGGUAGGAAUUAAAAAUAGAAAUCGGCUCUGCCGAUUUCAACAAAAAUUCCGACAUCCGACUUCCGACUUCUGACUUCCGAUACUAGUGGCGGACGGGUGAGUAACGCGUGGGCAACCUACCCAUAAGCGGGGGAUAACAGUUGGAAACGACUGCUAAUACCGCAUAAGCUAUUAAGGUCGCAUGACCAUAAUAGUAAAGGUAGCGAAAGCUAUCACUUAUGGAUGGGCCCGCGUCUGAUUAGCUAGUUGGUGGGGUAGAAACGCCUACCAAGGCAACGAUCAGUAGCCGGCCUGAGAGGGUGGACGGCCACACUGGGACUGAGACACGGCCCAGACUCCUACGGGAGGCAGCAGUGGGGAAUAUUGCGCAAUGGGGGAAACCCUGACGCAGCGACGCCGCGUGAGCGAAGAAGGCCUUAGGGUCGUAAAGCUCUGUUGUAAGGGACG
rnacentral:rRNA from 1 species